rnacentral:tRNA from 1 species
GCAUCGGUGGUUAAGUGGUAGAAUGCUCGCCUGCCACGUGGGCGGCCCGGGUUCGAUUCCCGGCCGAUGCA